UGGGUAGUAUCCAUUGGAACUGCACCUUGCUUUAAAUGUUAUUAAUUUCAUAGUAUUCUGCCUUGAUCCGUUAUGGACGGGGACGGAGGG
rfam:Bacillus sporothermodurans strain B4102 NODE_28, whole genome shotgun sequence.